AUGCAGGUCUAAGUCCAUGCCGCAUUAAGGUGAGACCGCGAAUGGCUCAUUAUAUCAGUUAUGGUUCCUUAGAUCUUCGGUUACACUUGGAUAACCCUGGUAAUUCUAGAGCUAAUACAUGCAUCCCAACACCGACCCUCGGGAAGGUGUGUUUUUAUUAGCCCAAAACCAAUCGUCUCUCCUCGUGGGUGACGUCAACUUGGUGAACUCAGAAUAACUUUGUUCGGAUCGCAUGGCCUUUGUGCCGGCGACGCAUCUUUCAAAUGUCUGCCUUAUCAACUUGUUGGUUGGUUAAAUGCCAACCAAGGUGUUAACGGGUGACGGAGAAUCAGGGUUCGAUACCGGAGGGAGCCUGAGAAACGGCUACCACAUCCAAGGAAGGCAGCAGGCACGCAAAUUACCCACUCCCGGCUCGGGGAGGUAGUGACGAAAAAUAACAAUGCGAGACUCAUCCGAGGCUUCGCAAUUGGAAUGGGAACACUUCAAAUCCUUUAUCGAGGAUCUAUUGGAGGGCAAGUCUAGUGCCAGCAGCCGCGGUAAUUCCAGCUCCAAUAGCGUAUAUUAAAGUUGCUGCGGUUAAAAGGCUCGUAGUUGGAUCUCAGUCUUGGUCGGACGGUUCAUUUCACGAUGAUACAGUUCGAAUCGGACAAUUCGCCGCCUUUCUCCGUAUGCUCUUGAUUGAAGUGUGCGGGGGAAGUGGCACGUUUACUUUGAAAAAAUUAGAGUGCUCAAAGCAGGCUAUAGCCUGAAUCUUCGUGCAUGGAAUGAUGGAAUAGGGCCUCGGUUCUAUUUUGUUGGUUUCCGGAACUCGAGGUAUUAAGAGGGACGGACGGGGGCAUUCGUAUUGCGACGUUAGAGGUGAAAUUCUUAGAUCGUCGCAAGACGAACUACUGCGAAAGCAUUUGCCAAGAAUGUUUUCAUUAAUCAAGAACGAAAGUCAGAGGUUCGAAGGCGAUCAGAUACCGCCCUAGUUCUGACCAUAAACGAUGCCAACUGGCGAUCCGUCGGUGUUAAUUCAAAUGACCCGACGGGCAGUCUCCGGGAAACCAAAGUUUUUGUGUUCCGGGGGAAGUAUGGUUGCAAAACUGGAACUUAAAGGAAUUGACGGAAGGGCACCACCAGGAGUGGAGCCUGUGGCUUAAUUUGACCCAACACGGGAAAUCUCACCAGGCCCGGACACCGGCAGGAUUGACAGAUUGAGAGCUCUUUCUUGAUUCGGUGGGUGGUGGUGCAUGGCCGUUCUUAGUUGGUGGAGCGAUUUGUCUGGUUAAUUCCGAUAACGAACGAGACCCCGUCCUACUCACUAGACUGAGGAUCAUUUCUGUCCUCACCGUCUUCUUAGAGGGACAAC
rnacentral:rRNA from 1 species